CCCUUAGAUGUUCUGGGCCGCACGCGCGCUACACUGAUCGGUGCAACAAGCAUCCGUCCUUGGCCGACAGGCCCGGGCAAUCUUUGAACGCCGGUCGUGAUGGGGAUAGACCUUUGCAAUUUUUGGUCUUCAACGAGGAAUUCCUAGUAAACGCAAGUCAUCAACUUGCAUUGAUUACGUCCCUGCCCUUUGUACACACCGCCCGUCGCACCUACCGAUUGAAUGGUCCGGUGAAACCUCCGGAUUGGCGCGUUCCCUCGGGCGCCGCCGAGAAGUUGGUUAAACCUUACCAUUUAGAGGAAGGUGAAGUCGUAACA
rnacentral:rRNA from 1 species